rnacentral:rRNA from 1 species
GUGUCAGCCGCCGCGGUAAAACGUAGGAGGCGAGCGUUAUCCGGAUUUACUGGGCGUAAAGCGCGCGCAGGCGGCUUUGUAAGUCGGAUGUGAAAGCUCCUGGCUUAACUGGGAGAGGUCAUUCGAAACUACGAGGCUUGAGGUUGGGAGAGGGGUGUGGAAUUCCCGGUGUAGUGGUGGAAUGCGUAGAUAUCGGGAGGAACACCUGUGGCGAAAGCGGCACCCUGGCCCACACCUGACGCUGAGGUGCGAAAGCGUGGGUAGCAAACAGGAUUAGAUACCCCGGUAGUCC